GACGAACGCUGGCGGCGUGCUUAACACAUGCAAGUCGAACGAGUGGCGGACGGGUGAGUAAUGUCUGGGAAACUGCCCGAUGGAGGGGGAUAACUACUGGAAACGGUAGCUAAUACCGCAUACCAUCAGAUGUGCCCAGAUGGGAUUAGCUGGUAGGGGGGGUAACGGCUCACCUAGGCGACGAUGCCUAGCUGGGCUGAGAGGAUGACCGGCCACACGUGGACUGAGACACGGUCCAGACUCCUACGGGAGGCAGCAGUGGGGAAUAUUGCACAAUGGGCGCAAGCCUGAUACAGCCAUGCCGCGUGUGUGAAGAAGGCCUUCGGGUUGUAAAGCACUUUCAGCGGGGAGGCGUUACCCGCAGAAGAAGCACCGGCUAACUCCGUGCCAGCAGCCGCGGUAAUAC
rnacentral:rRNA from 1 species